UGGGGAAUAUUAGUAAUGGGCGAAAGCCUGAACUAGCAACACCGCGUGUGCGAAGAAGGCCUUCGGGUUGUAAAGCACUUUUUGAGAGGAUGAGGAAGGACGGUACUCUCAGAAUAAGUCUCGGCUAACUACGUGCCAGCAGCCGCGGUAACACGUAGGAGGCAAGCGUUAUUCGGAUUUACUGGGCGUAAGGCGCGUGUAGGUGGUUCUGUAAGUAGGGCGUGAAAGCUCCUGGCUCAACUGGGAGAGGCCGUUCUAAACUGCAGAGCUAGAGGAUGGUAGAGGGAGGUGGAAUUCCGGGUGUAGCGGUGGAAUGCGCAGAUAUCCGGAGGAACACCAGUGGCGAAAGCGGCCUCCUGGCCCAUUUCUGACGCUCAGACACGAAAGCUAAGGUAGCAAACG
rnacentral:rRNA from 1 species